UACGGGGGGGGGGGGGGGCAAGCGUUGUUUCGGAAUUUACUGGGCGUAAAGGGUCUGUAGGUGGCCAACUAAGUCAGACGUGAAAUCCCUCAGCUUUUAACUGGGGAACUGCGUCUGAUACUGGUUGGCUUGAGUGCAGGAGAGGAAUGCGGAAUUCCAGGUGUAGCGGUGAAAUGCGUAGAUAUCUGGAGGAACACCGGUGGCGAAGGCGGCAUUCUGGACUGCAACUGACACUGAAAGACGAAAGCCAGGGGGGAGCAAACGGG
rnacentral:rRNA from 1 species